rnacentral:tRNA from 1 species
GGACGAGUGGCCUAGUCUGGAUAUGGCGGCAGCCUCCUAAGCUGCAAGCCGGGGGUUCGAAUCCCCUCUCGUCCGCCA